GACGAACGCUGGCGGCGUGCUUAACACAUGCAAGUCGAACGGAAAGGCCCCUUUGGGGGUACUCGAGUGGCGAACGGGUGCGUAACACGUGAGUAACCUGCCCUUGACUUCGGGAUAACUUCAGGAAACUGGGGCUAAUACCGGAUAGGAAUCCUUGCUGCAUGUUGGGGGUUGGAAAGCUUCGGCGGUUUUGGAUGGACUCGCGGCUUAUCAGCUUGUUGGUGGGGUAGUGGCUUACCAAGGCUUUGACGGGUAGCCGGCCUGAGAGGGCGACCGGCCACAUUGGGACUGAGAGACGGCCCAGACUCCUAAGGGAGGCAGCAGUGGGGAAUAUUGCACAACGGGCGGAAGACUGAUGCAGCAACGCCGCGUGCGGGAUGACGGCCUUCGGGUUGCAAACCGCUUUCAGCAGGGGCGAAGCUUGUGGUGACGGUACCUGCAGAAGAAGCACCGGCUAACUACGUG
rnacentral:rRNA from 1 species